UACGUAGGGGGCAAGCGUUGUCCGGAUUUAUUGGGCGUAAAGAGCGUGUAGGCGGCCAUACAGGUCAGCUGUGAAAACUCGAGGCUCAACCUCGAGACGUCGGUUGAAACCGUAUGGCUAGAGUCCGGAAGAGGAGAGUGGAAUUCCCGGUGUAGCGGUGAAAUGCGCAGAUAUCGGGAAGAACACCCGUGGCGAAGGCGGCUCUCUGGGACGGUACUGACGCUGGGACGCGAAAGCGUGGGGAGCGAACAGG
rnacentral:rRNA from 1 species